GGCAUACUUAGUACGGCGAGUGAGCGGUAAAAGCUCAAAUUUGAAAUCUGGUACUUUCAGUGCCCGAGUUGUAAUUUGUAGAAUUUGUCUUUGAUUAGGUCCUUGUCUAUGUUCCUUGGAACAGGACGUCAUAGAGGGUGAGAAUCCCGUUUGGCGAGGAUACCUUUUCUCUGUAAGACUUUUUCGAAGAGUCGAGUUGUUUGGGAAUGCAGCUCAAAGUGGGUGGUAAAUUCCAUCUAAAGCUAAAUAUUGGCGAGAGACCGAUAGCGAACAAGUACAGUGAUGGAAAGAUGAAAAGAACUUUGAAAAGAGAGUGAAAAAGUACGUGAAAUUGUUGAAAGGGAAGGGCAUUUGAUCAGACAUGGUGUUUUUUGCAUGCACUCGCCUCUCGUGGGCUUGGGCCUCUCAAAAAUUUCACUGGGCCAACAUCAAUUCUGGCAGUAGGAUAAAUCAUUAAGAAUGUAGCUACCUCGGUAGUGUUAUAGCUUAUUGGAAUACUGCUAGCUGGGAUUGAGGACUGCGCUUCGGCAAGGAUGUUGGCAUAAUGGUUAAAUGCCGCCCGUCUUGAAACACGGACCA
rnacentral:rRNA from 1 species